AAAGGGAGACCUAAUUCAGGUAGGAGACGAAAAAAAAGUAGUCGCUACCAAGAAUCAAUCCCAAAAGGUCGGAGCGAGGCGAAAUUGGCUUUCAAACUAGGUUCUGGGUUCAAACAAGACCUGAAUCAGGAACAAGGGCUAUUAGCUCAGGUGGUUGGAGCGCACCCCUGAUAAGGGUGAGGUCCCUGGUUCGAGUCCAGGAUGGCCCACCUGCACAGGUGGCAAAAACAAGAGAAGCGAGGAAUCAGCACCUUAUCUUACUUAUAUAGUAAGAGAGAAUGCUGGCUCUGAGUAAAGAGUCCAGAGGAACCUUGAAAACUGCAUAGAGCUAGGUGAAAAAGCCAAAAAAGAAGACCGCAAG
rnacentral:tRNA from 1 species